AAUUUUGGACAAUGGGCGCAAGCCUGAUCCAGCCAUGCCGCGUGAGUGAAGAAGGCCUUCGGGUUGUAAAGCUCUUUCGGCGGGGACGAAAUGGUUCGUGCUAAUACCACGGACUGAUGACGGUACCCGUAGAAGAAGCACCGGCUAACUCUGUGCCAGCAGCCGCGGUAAUACAGAGGGUGCGAGCGUUAAUCGGAAUUACUGGGCGUAAAGCGCGCGUAGGUGGCUAUGCAAGUCGGAUGUGAAAUCCCCGGGCUCAACCUGGGAACUGCAUUCGAGACUGCAUUGCUUGAGUAUGGGAGAGGGAAGUGGAAUUUCCGGUGUAGCGGUGAAAUGCGUAGAUAUCGGAAGGAACAUCAGUGGCGAAAGCGACUUCCUGGACCAAUACUGACACUCAAGUGCGAAAGCGUGGGGAGCAAAC
rnacentral:rRNA from 1 species